rnacentral:rRNA from 1 species
AAUGAACGCUGGCGGCAUGCCUAACACAUGCAAGUCGAACGAAACCUUCGGGUUUAGUGGCGCACGGGUGCGUAACGCGUGGGAAUCUACCCCUUGGCUCGGAAUAACAGUUGGAAACGACUGCUAAUACCGGAUGAUGACGUAAGUCCAAAGAUUUAUCGCCGAGGGAUGAGCCCGCGUAGGAUUAGGUAGUUGGUGUGGUAAAGGCGCACCAAGCCGACGAUCCUUAGCUGGUCUGAGAGGAUGAUCAGCCACACUGGGACUGAGACACGGCCCAGACUCCUACGGGAGGCAGCAGUGGGGAAUAUUGGACAAUGGGCGAAAGCCUGAUCCAGCAAUGCCGCGUGAGUGAUGAAGGCCUUAGGGUUGUAAAGCUCUUUUACCCGGGAUGAUAAUGACAGUACCGGGAGAAUAAGCUCC